AUGUGUGAGAAUAAAAAUUAUCCGAUUUUCGCUCGAUUUUCAGAUGAAUUUUCUGCAUCAAUGCCCUCCCAAAAAGACAAUAUCUAAAUUACGCUAUUUUUUUGAUGGUACUCACCACCAGUUUCAAUGUCAGACUUUGAUGUGAUCAUCAAAACCGAGCCUGGUAUGAAACCAGGUGACUUUGACAUGGGGGUUCCUGGGCCUCAGACACCCCCUAUGACUCCUCCCAGAUUGACAGAAGCUGAAGAGAUGGCGAGGAAAAGGGCGGAAUUCGCCAGGAAAGAAUUCUACAAGAAUCGCAAGAUUUUGAUAGAGGAUGUGCCACCUGUGACUUACGAGGAAGUGAAGGAAUUCAUGGGUGGAUACAAAAUAGCCAACAUCAACAUCAGCAGAAAGACCAGGAAUGCUUACGUCAUCUUGAAACAUGGAGAGGAGGCAGAAGAGAUUGUAGAUGUGCUACGGGGGAAGAAGCUUCUUGAUAAGGAGGUGCUGGUGUCCAUCAAACCCAAUGAGACCCUGCUCUGUCUGGCUCACUUGCCGUUCCAUCUGACGGACCACGACCUGAGGAAGUUUGCCUGUCAGUUCGGUAUCAUUGAGAAAUGUUUCCUAAUGAGGAAUGAAAUGAGCGGUGAGAGCAAGGGAUAUGGCCUGGUGGAAUACACUCAUAAUCGGGACCACACCAACACAGCCCGUCUCAAGAUAGACGGGAUGGAAGUCUACCAGUGUCGUGUCCACUGCGAAUUCAUCCAAAGUCACUUGACAGCGUUCAACGACCUGCAUUCCAAGUGUUUGUUCAUUAAUAAGCUACCAGCUGAUUUUGUGAACGAACAACAGCUUGAUGAACUGUGUCGUUAUGAGGUCGAGGUGAUCUUUAGUAAGAUCGGAAUGAAGAAUGACCAGCCCCUCGGGUUUGCCAUCGUAGAGUUUACGACAUCAGAAGAUGCCGAGAUGAUGCAGGCCCGUCUGCAUGGACGCCCCGUCAGAGAGAACAGAACCAUGUCCGCUACAUUCUGUGUGCCGGGCAUGUCCGGGCCAGAACUUUACAACAAGGCAUUGAAUGCCGUGGGCACUGGUCGGUCAGCUGGUAGCGACGUUAAGGCGCUGGGACUCAUUCCGACACCAAACAUGCCGCCCCCGUUUGCGAAUAGAAAUACAAACAACAUGAAUCCUGGGAUACGACUGGGAAUGAGGCCACCUCCACCGCCACAGGUCGCCCAAGGUUUGCGCAACCUCUUCCAACAGCUACAAGUCAUGCAACAGAACAUGAACCAGCUGAUGCAGGGCGGUCCAAGGCCUCCCAACCCAGCACAGCCCCAGCCCUCGCCGAUGGGAAUGGGGUUCCUAGGUCCCGGACCCAACAUGCUCCCGGCAGCCAACCCCAUGAUGCAGCAAGCUAUCACGCUACUGGCAGCAUCUCUACAGAGUCAACAGCAGCAGCAGCAGUUGAUGAUGGGGUUGAAUGGCUUGCAGAUGUUGAUACAACAGCAAAACAAUAUGGGUCCCAAUCGAUUGCCCCCAGCACAGCAGGCCCUUCUUGGGAACCCCAUCAUGCUGCAGACCAAUAACUUCCUCCAGGCCCUCGUGUCACAACUUCAGCGCCAACAGCAGGCGUCAACACAACCUCCGCAAGAACAACAUCCACCGCCAGUCAACCGGCCAAACAACCAGGAAAACAGGCAACAGGGCCCAAACCAAGGCCCAGGAAUGAUGCCACCCAAUCAUCAGAUGAGGGGACCAAUACCUAGCAGCAAUAUGAUGCAACCUCCACCCGCACCACAGGGACCACAAGGACAGAGACAAAAUUCGCAGCCCCCACCGCAAUUCCAGGCGCAAAAUCAGAAUGCAUUAAACAAUUUACAACAAUUGUUUAUGAAUCUACAAAAAGGUGGUGUAGGAGGCAAUAGUGGGCCGAACCAAAUGCAACAACAACCGCGCCAGACUCAACUAAACCAACAAAAUCAGCCGCGGCCAAAUAACAUUCCACAAAAUCAGGGACAGGCUUUGUUACAGACUAUUCUAUCUAGUGUCAUGAACUCUAUUAUGAAUCUUGGUAAUAAGGGCCAGAAUCAGGAGGGGCCAAGAGACAUGGAUCACAGGAGGCAUAGCCCCGAGCAGCGGGGACGAGAGAGGGAGCGCUGUCAUUCGGAACGGAGUUAUCACAAUCGUGGUGCGCCGUUGAGUAGUAUGCGCCCACGCCAUGCCAGUACAAGUCGUGUGGGCGAAAUCGAGGAUGGGGCUAUUCAAAGGCUGUACGGAAAUAAUGAAGGGGACCAUGGAAGUCGCCAGGGGUGUCAAGACCCAGUGUCUCAACCACCCUUGCAGGGGCGAGUGGGCUAUCAACAUCUUGAUGGUGGCCAUGUGGGAGAGAGAAGGGAGCGGCCGCCUGAGAGAGAGUUGAGACAGGGCGACGAUGGACAAUUGGCAAUCACAAUAAACCAAGAAGCCACAACGAGUAAAGGUCAGGGGGAUGGUUUUUCCCAGAGUUACGUCUACACCACUGAAAAGUCUGCUGUUCCCGAUGGUGAUGUUGACCAGCAAUUUCCCUCGACAUCGAGCAGUGGUCAGCCUCCUCAAGAAGGCCAACAAGGCCACUUUGAUCCAAAUUAUUAUGUGUACAACGACUAUAACAACUAUAUGACUCAGCUCCAAGUGCCGCACCAAACUCCCAGUGCCUCCUCCUCGUCCCAGUCCAGCCCGACCGGCCAGGGAGGACCCCCAAGCCAGGAGUGGGUCGGUCAGCCACAACAGGUACAACAGCCUGUUGGGGCCCGGAAAUCAAAAACAUGACGCCACCAAGAUGACUUUGAAGGGCCAGCAUCGAUGAUCAUACAUGAGCAGCCCCCGCACCUAGCCUGCUGGCCGCAAAGAAGACGUUGUCAAUAAAUUGCUUUCUCUUAAGUAUGUAAAUGGCUGGGACUGAUAUCAACUGCAUUUAGUGAUGACACUGACGUGGUAAUGAGGAAGUUUUGUUCAUAUAACAGUUAUGAGUAAUUUCUGAUGAUGGAAUAAAAUUUGACACUGACAGGAAACAAUUUAACCAAAAAGUUUUUGUGAGAGCUAUUUUGAAAUGGUUUGUGUCUGGGCAUAUCGAGUACUGGCUACCUUCUAAUUGAAUUGUUGGAUGAUAUUCAAAAUGAAAUAUGAGACAAUUUGUGUAAAAACGCAUUGGCCUGUCCUCAUUGAGUUUAUUCUGAUAAAACCCAAGGUAAUCAGAUUUUCCCGAGUGACACACUUAUCAUUUUAGCCAUGAAAUUAUAUUUUUCUGUGGUAAUUUUGGAAUCGUCCAAAAUUUGUAUUGAAUAGGUUAAUAUUUCUUAAAGAUGAUCCUGUGAUUCCAGUUGAUUUCAGUCACCAUUGGAGUGAAUGGCAAAAUACUAGUUUGUUGCCUCCUUGCUUGUAAAGAUUUCUUGAAUUAUCCGUCAGUUGGAGAAAUCUUUAAAAUUUGCAACAAAACAUGAAUAAUGCACGGAAUUCCAUUCUGUGUUAUUGUCUUUUGAUGGAGAGCAACAAGAUUGUAUUUUCAUGUUUUGUGCCACAAAAUCACAAUAAGUUAAUUUGUGGUGUGCUUACUUGACAUUAGGGUGGUGUGUGUGUGUGUAUGUGGAAUGCCUGACGAAAUAUUGUAUGAUUUCGCUUCUUCAAAGCUAACCAUAUCAUCUCUAUCUACUAUAGAUCGGUGUUUGACAUAUCCAGAGCUAGCAAAAUUAUCCAUUAAGUACAUAGUCAUUGAAAAAAGUAUAAAUCUUUAUAUGGUUUUGAACAUAUCUUUGAUAACACUGUAGCUUUCCUAAAAAAAUUUAAACAAAAACCUUAUAGAUGGAUGUGGAAAGUGCUCUUCAAAGGGGUCCACGCGUUUUAUGUCAACCAAGAUAUGGUCAGCUUCUCUUCAUUUCAGUACUCUAAACAUUUCUUACUAGCAUUCACGUUUCAUUAGACAUUUCAAAGUUGCAUGAAAACGCCUCAAUUUUUCCUCAAAAUAUCAAUUUAUCAAAGUUAUGUCCAUUUGUAUUGUCCUCACUCUCCGCUAUCAUGACAGCUUUUUGUUGAACCACUACGAUCUCUCUGUUUGUAGUCUGUUUGAUGUUCCUCAUCUUUGUGGUGUCUUCUGCGACCAAACCCCAGCGCCCCCUUCACAAAGAGCUCAUACCAAUAUUCUAAAAUGACGUGCACUUGCUUUUGCCUACCCACUGUGUGGGUACACAUUGCAUAUCUUCAAAAACCUAUUGCAUGUAAUUUGUUCAGACUAUCAACCUUUCAUCUGUUGGUUUCGAUUGCAUGUUUGUUAUCAGCCCUCCAACCCGUUUCAUCUCGCUGAUGUCAACACCCAUCACUUUAUAAUGUUGCUUUUUAAGAUUAUCAAAACACCCGUCAUUUUAUCAUUCUCUAUUAAGCGUUUCCCAGACAAGCGUUUUUGGUCACUGUGACCUGUAACAGUGCCAUGAGAACAUGACAAUCGAUUGCAACUCAACCAAUCAGCAGCCUCUGCCCAAUAACGAUUGUCAUGUUGUAAUGGCUACUUCACGGUCGCUGCAUAAGAAACGACUUGUUUGCAAAGCGCUACACGUACUUUCCUCAUUUCAUAGAUGUCUUAUUGUGUGUUGAGUUGUCCUUGUGUUGUAAGCCUUCCCUGAAGUGUCCAAGUGCACUGCAUCUAGCCUGUGUGAGUGCGAGUGUGGAUGUGUUUUCAAACCUUCUUUGUGUCUUGGCUAAUGAGAGUUGGAUCUUAUUUAAACUUUCAGGGAAGCGGACAGAACGUUGCCACAUGAUUGUUGGUCUGAAUUUUAACCAUCAUUCAAUUUUUUUCAGCAUUCCUCGUAAAAAUAUAAAUCAUCCAUUAUUCCACUAUCCGGAUUGUUUCAUGAAUUUCACCCAUCAUAAACAGUAAAGUCUUCCUUAAACCGCAUCACGACAGAUGUUAUUAGUGUUCAUGACUUUGCAGUAAGAUUGUCAUCCAUCAUGAUUUUCAAUCCAUUUCAUGCCAUAAUAUGAGAAGGACAUGUUUUAUGUUGCACAAAGUAACUUUCAUGUAUCAUAAUUGACAUUUUGCCAAUUUUUUUCCGCAGAAUAUUGUCACAAAAGUCAUCAGAUAUACAGUCCUCUCCAAAAGGCAUAAAUUGUGGCCAUCUUUGCAUUGCUACUGAACAUUUUUUCAAUUGCCUAAAGCAUUGGCCCCCUUGUGGGUUGCUGUAUUUGCCAGUCCCUUGCCCUGCAGAGACCUAAAUACCUACAAAAAUAAGUGAAGGUUGCCAUAGGUUUUUUUUGCUGCACUAGAUGUAUCUCCAUAUCGGAGAGGUCCAACAAAGAGGCGGGUUUAGUAGCUGGAAAGCCUUGUUCAUUUUCAAUAAUCGAAUUGAUUUCAUUCAUCUCAUAAUAACAUUGGAUUAUGUGUUGGAAACUGGUGUUGGCAUAUUAUGUGAUGUUUUUGUUUCAAUUUCAUGCCGUCAUCUUUCAAUUGUUCAUUAAAGUUUAGAAGCCCAUCUGCAGAGAUUUGGUCAUUUGUUACUUGUCAUUCAGUUGUGGAAGAGACCGUCACUGUCUCGGAGAAACGACCUUACUUGCAUGAGGAACAUGUCAGAGUUAGGAAAGUUUUCCGAAGUCUUGACAUGCAGGUUGGAUGAGCCUUCCACCUCACAUAGUUGUGUGGUCACCGCUCAUGUUAUUCAGAACUGAUUCCUGGAGAUUGAGAUAUGUCGGGAUUGUGUGAUUGUUGGAAAGGUGUGAUUUUCUUCUUGAUGUCACAACACUUCAGGUCGUUGGUCUUUGCAAGUUGAUUUCCUAGAUUCGGAAAAUACUGAAAAAAACUUCCGCCAUCGAAAUUAAUAAUUAAGUUUCUGUCCUUGAAAUGGUAUAUAAAUUAUAUUGAAUUGAUUAUACAUUGAUAAUAUGACUAAAAAUAACCAAUAGAAACAAAAUUUGACCACCUACUCCCACCUCUCCAUCUGCUGAAGCUGAUAUAUUGUGACAUCAGGAAAUCCACACAUCUCCAUUCAUUUCUUUAGCAUUUUGUCCAUCCUGUUGCAGAUGGUUGAGCGGAGUCAUGCAAGCGGGUCGAGCUCAGACACUACUGCUCCUGUGGGACAGAAGGGACCUGAUGGAGUCAUGCAGGCUGUACAGCAAAUCGUGGCACAAUCUCUCUCGGGUGGAAUGUUACAGAAUCAAUCUGCUAG